rnacentral:rRNA from 1 species
GACGAACGCUGGCGGCGUGCUUAACACAUGCAAGUCGAGCGGUAAGGCCCUUUCGGGGGUACGACGAGCGGCGAACGGGUGAGUAACACGUGGGUGACCUGCCCUUAGCUCUGGGAUAAGCCUGGGAAACGUGGGUCUAAUACCGGAUAUGACUCCAUGACGCAUGUUGUGGGGUGGAAAGCCUUGUGCGGCUAGGGAUGGGCCCGCGGCCUAUCAGCUUGUUGGUGGGGUGAUGGCCACCAAGGCGACGACGGGUAGCCGGCCUGAGAGGGCGACCGGCCACACUGGGACUGAGACACGGCCCAGACUCCUACGGGAGGCAGCAGUGGGGAAUCUUGCGCAAUGGGCGAAAGCCUGACGCAGCGACGCCGCGUGGGGA